UUAACUUGUAUAUAGCGGUUUGAGGAAAAAAAAUGGAAGCAAAGUAUGAAAAAAAGAAGAGAUACAUUUAAGAUCGGGAAGGAGGAAACGGAUCAAUCGUUUUCUUCCAUUACUUCACGGUUUGAUGAUUAUUCUUCAACGAUUUAUCUCGUGCACUUUAUACGUACACUGUACCUAGAAAGGACGCGGAUCGGUUGGCCGAAAUUGAGAGAUCAGAGUAUAAAACGAGAUCAAAAAUAAGAGGAAAAAAUCAACCAUGGCAAGAAUCACUCUAAUUUCUAAAUCGCGAAUUUUAUAGAAUAAACGGAUUAACCCGAUUCCCAUGACCUUAGAGGAUGGUCCUCUUAUUAUCGUUGCUGUUAUUAUUAUUAUUAUUAUUGUUGUUGUUCUUUUUAUUAUUAUCAUUGUGCGUGUUAAUUUAAACGCCAUUUAUAUACCAGAUAAGUACAUUGUGGAAAUGAAAGGAGAAAAAAAAAAUUUACGGACAGUGAGUCACUGCGGGCCAGGUGAGGUACACCAUUACUAAUAUAGCAAUAGUUGCCGCUCGUUGAAGUUGAAGUUCCCUGCGUUUUAUUUAAUGGUGAAAAAAAAACAAUCAGGUUUUGUCUAGAAGUCAUGUACGCAUAUAGGUAUAUGUAUAUAUUUAGAUUACAAUUGUUAUGUGGGUCACACGGAUAAAAUUUACAAUAUUCAUGGAAGACGACUUAAUUAAAGCGUCUCUGUCUACUUGGAAACCAUCUUCUGAAAGAAUCUCGCGAAUGCGCCUCGUAAGCACCUAUGGUGUCUUCUUCGUUAAUCCAUAUAUCUAUGUGUUGUUACUCGCUACUAUUAUAAUUACGUACAUAUUAUGCACUGACGGACACGUAGCUCGAGGUAUGAAAUCUUCUAUCGAAUAUAUCGCUCUCAUUGCCAUCAGCUAUGUACGCACGUUUACUUGUACACAACUUUCCACGUUUUCUCAUCAAAUAUGGAUCAAUUGUUUCUCUCGAAGACACCACAAUGCAAGUCCAUAAAAUUAAAAACGGGAAUACACAUCAGACGAAAAGAAAGUGACGACGACUAUCAUUUACUAUACGUGCAUAUGUAGAUGUAACGUACAUUGGAAGUAAAAUUUUCGAACAUUUACGUUACGUGGAAUUCUGAUCUGAUCAUGGCGAUAGUGAGUGAUGAUGAUAAUAACAAUAGUACAGUGAUAAUAAUGACGACGAUAAUAACUAUGUACGUCAGUGUUAUGGGUGGAUCGUGUUUAGCGGGUUUAUGUGUACUAUAAGAUUGGAAUAGCGUGACGUUCGGACGUUUCUGGAACGCGAAAUACAAGGAUCUCAGAUUUAGUUUACACUCUAGCUGAUAUAACGAUCGAGGAAAUGUUCUGCACAAAGUUUUUCUAGCGGGGUAGUCGCCACGUCGACAAUCUGCUCCUGCAUAUCCCUAGGGACUCGGCUAUCGGGCAAAUUGUUGGCUCCAGCCGACGCGAUGUCGCGUGAAUUAACGGCUCGAGUAUCGACGGUCAAGAAACGUAAGGGAGAUGAAAUUCACCUUCUUUCCGCAUGGUAGUUGCGAAGGAGUUCACGGUUGGUGUUGAACAGAACUCCAAAAUGACCCUGGCAAAGGGUCACCCAAAUUGGAAGGCUUGGCGUUUUCAGUCUCGAUCCAGGUUGCCUGCUCACUCCUCCGGCAACUUCACCGUCGUGUACCAAAAUUCCGACUUCACUCCUCGUCAAAACCCCCCAUCGAGGAAUCGCCUGAAAUUCAUGCCUCGAGUAAGGUGUUUUCGUCGCCAACGUGGAGUACGCCGUUAUGAAGGUGAGGAGAGCAGCGUCCCGUGAGCAAAAGAAUGACUAUGCUCACGGGUCCUUCUUCAGGACAUCCGGGAAGGAUCGAAGUACGUGGAUCUUCCAGGUCAUUACGUAUGCUGAAAAAAACUGCACUGUAUAAAAGGAUUAUCGCACCUGGUCCCCCUUCGUCCUGGAACUGAAAAUUGAGUGAGGACUUUUGGUAUCCUGCAGACAUAUUUUGAAAAUGAACGAAUCGUAUGCGUGAAAAUGAUUAUUUUGAUUAAAAUCAAUUUACCAAGUAAAGAUACCGCUUGACGAAUAUCUGAAGGUCAUCGAGAUUCGAGAACUCGAAAACGUGGAGCUGGGGGUUCGGAAGACAAAGGAAAAGCAAUCGUUCUAUUAAUAUCAGCCUCCAAUUUCCG